CCAUUAUGUAUAUAAUACUGCAGUAUUUGAGAAUACUGUAGUAUUCUUCCAAAACUGCAGAAAAACUUUGUUCCCAAGCACCCCCUUAGACUUUUUGUUCUGUAAUACUAGUGUACGUAUGUGGGGCGGGGGUGGGGGUUCUGUGUUCAGAAUUAAGACUGCAUUUAUUGUUGUCUAGUCCUUGCAUUUAUUGUUGUCUAGCAACUGUGCUACAGUAUGGUUGCCCAAUUCAUUAUAAUUACUGAUUUAACAAAUAGUCCUACCCCAUCCACAAAGUUGCUAGGGCAUAGAGUGGAGUGCAUGACCAAUUUAUUAUAAUUACUGAAUUAACAAAUAGUCCUACUCCUACCCUAUCCACAGUUGCUAGAGCAUAGCUUAUUGAUUGAUGCCUGUAACUACUACGGCUCGCCAAACAUCUGUAGCCCCUUACUCUACAUGCCAUUGAUUCAUCCUAUAGUAUGGGCUCGCUUAUUCUGAUAGAUUACAGCAACCUCAUUCAAGUGUUGGCGUGCAGAGUUCUUAGUUUGUGUGCAUUUGAUUGAUAGCUUAUUUUUGCAGAGAUGUCUUGCUCAUUUCUUUUGUCACUUGGGUUCUUUCUAGUCUCACAUUUGUUAUUUUGGUGGAGGGCCUUCUCGGCGCUGCAUCCAGUUAUUUUUUUGGGAUUGUAGCUGCCCUGUCCAGUAGCUCUCCACAUUGGGCACAUCGCACCUCUAUUUUGUUGUUCUCAAGUUUUUUUAUUUGUGUGCUUAGUGCAGACUGCAGGGUACCCACAAUUGUCCUUUUACGUUUUUUUAAAAAAAAAGUACGGACCUUGCAUUGUGAGCUAACGAAGGCACUGGUCGCUCGAUCACAUGGGGGUGUGGUCUGUGGUGGACCGGCAGUACUGUCUCAACUAGCCAAUGGUCCACAGUAUCAGUACCUGCUCCGUGCUCACCAACCGGUACCGGUUCUCCAUCGCGUGCACCUCGUGUUAAAAAUAUUUUGUACUCUCUCUGUUCUGAUUAAUGUAACUCUCAAGUCUCUUACUCUUUAUUUCUUUUUUUAUAAGUUAAACGAUUUAAACUUUAACUAAAAUCGUGCAACAUACUUAUAUUAUAAAGUAGAUAUCAUUACACUGAUGGAAUGCGUUUUUAGUAAAUUUGAUUUAAGACAAGUAUUAGUACUAUUUAUUAUAAAUUUAGUCGGACAUAAGCUAGUUUUCUUGUAUUAUUUUAUGCACUGGAGAGUAAUAACUUAUCUCAUGCAAUGUGCUCACUCCAUCCAUAAAAAGAUGUAAUUUUCGUUUUUCUGUAACUUGACCAAACUUAUAUAUAGGAAAAAUAGUACCAUUCAUAAUAUAAAACAAACAUCAUUAGAUUGAUUAUAAAAUAUAUUUCCAUAGAAAAUUUUAUUGUAAACAUAAAUGUAAAUAGUAUAUAUUAUAAAUUUGAUCAAACUUAAACUAGUUUGAUCGGCACAAAUCUAUACUUGCAUUCUAUGUGGAUGGAGUAGUUAGCCUCAUGAGACUGAAUAAUUGGCGGCCUGCACUUCGCAUUUCGUGCACUGGUGCAUCUUCCAUCCUCGGGUUUAUGGGAUGAAUAAUACUUCAGUAAAUCCCAUCUUUGUUACCAUUUUAUUAAGAUUGUUGAGGUGUUCAUUGAUAUGAUAGAUAACGCUCAUAUUUAGCCAUUUAGGCUCACAGUUCAGUAAAUCAAUCAUAUAGUAGAUGACAUGAUACUGUCACUCACGCCACUGUUCCUUCCACUGCAAGUAUGUCUACUGUAAUUAAUCACUUACUUUUGGUGCCUGGCAGCUUCCCUCCACACGAUGCGGUAGACAAGUGGGAAAAGAUGAAGCCUACAUCAGCUAGCUAUGUACAGAAAGCACCAUGUUUCCGAUGGGCCCACCCGUCCCCAGAGUUGCAACGGAAGGAUCUAAGCUCUUCAGGAACGCGGGUGAGGUGAAGUGAAGACGAUGUCCGUGACGCCGGUUCAGAGCUGGUGAAGUUCUCUAGCAACGGGAAGAAGAGGGUUUUUAAGGAUGCUUCCGCUUCAAAAAAGCUAAAAGACCAAUUAAUGGUUUUUUUGCCUUUUAGAAAACAGGUGUUUUUAGUAUGUUUCUAAGAAUACUUCAGACACUUUUUUAUUAUUUUUUUUGGUUUUUAAUAUUUUUUAAUGAAUGGAAUAAACAAUUUAUUCAUGGUUGUUGUAAGAGAUAAAGAUAAGAGGUAUAUUUUACACCUGUUUU